UACGGAGGGUGCAAACGUUGCUCGGAAUCAUUGGGCGUAAAGCGCACGUAGGCGGCCUGUUAAGUCAGGCGUGAAAGCCCCGGGCUUAACCUGGGAAUUGCGCUUGAUACUCUGAGACUGGAGUACGGGAGAGGAGAGUGGAAUUCCCAGUGUAGAGGUGAAAUUCGUAGAUAUUGGGAAGAACACCAGUGGCGAAGGCGGCUCUCUGGACCGUAACUGACGCUGAGGCGCGAAAGCGUGGGGAGCAAACAGG
rnacentral:rRNA from 1 species